GGGCGUCGGAGUUGCGGCCGCCCCUCGGGGGAGGCGGGGGCUGAGCCUCGCUUGGGUCUGGCCCUCGGGAAGCCCAGCGAGCACCUGACCCCGGGAGCGGUGCUGGGUGAGGCGGGGCGGCGCGCCCUGUGUCUGCAGACAGGGAUGCUGCUGGCUUGUUUUCUUUAACAAGCUAGGCGAUCUCUGGAGGCCCCUUCCAACCCCUGCAACUCUGGGGUUUUAGUUCUAGUAACUAAUUAGGCGAGCAGAUCUGCCGCUGGAUUGUGUUGGAGAAGAUGAGCUACUUGUUAAAGAUUUGAAAGAAACAACAAAAUCCACUGACAUGGCAGACAACUCCAAAGGGACUGGCUGUAGGAGUGCAUGCUCAGCUGAAGCAUUAGAAAUAUCCCUGCAUGCCUGCUCCAUGCCAGUGGUGAGAGCCCAGCAGUUCUGCCCAUGGGAGGAUGUGUCACAAGCCCAUGUUCUCAGAGCAGACUGUUUUUACACAGAGCUGAAUACGGUGUACUAAUUGUGCCUGCAGUAUGAAUAAGAAGCAGCAAUAAUAAUUACAGCUUAUAGCGUGAUGUGAAAAGGCUGUGAGUGUAAUCCUGUUUCCAUUCAUACCAAAUAUAAAAUAAAAAGGAGAGGAAGAAAAGUAGGUAUUAGGCC
rnacentral:lncRNA from 1 species